UACGUAGGGCGCAAGCGUUAUCCGGAAUUAUUGGGCGUAAAGAGCUCGUAGGCGGUUUGUCGCGUCUAUCGUGAAAGUCCGAGGCUCAACCUCGGAUCUGCGGUGGGUACGGGCAGACUAGAGUGAUGUAGGGGAGACUGGAAUUCCUGGUGUAGCGGUGAAAUGCGCAGAUAUCAGGAGGAACACCGGUGGCGAAGGCGGGUCUCUGGGCCGAUACUGACGCUGAGGAGCGAAAGCGUGGGGAGCGAACAGG
rnacentral:rRNA from 1 species